UACGAAGGGUGCAAGCGUUACUCGGAAUUACUGGGCGUAAAGCGUGCGUAGGCGGUUUGUUAAGUCUGAUGUGAAAGCCCUGGGCUCAACCUGGGAAUGGCAUUGGACACUGGCAACCUAGAAUGUGGUAGAGGGUGGCGGAAUUCCCGGUGUAGCAGUGAAAUGCGUAGAGAUGUGGAGGAACCCCGAGGGCGAAGGCAGCGUGCUGGGCCGACACUGACGCUGAGGGCACGAAAGCGUGGGGAGCAAACAGG
rnacentral:rRNA from 1 species